rnacentral:rRNA from 1 species
UACGAAGGGGGCUAGCGUUGCUCGGAAUCACUGGGCGUAAAGGGUGCGUAGGCGGGUUUUUAAGUCAGAGGUGAAAUCCUGGAGCUCAACUCCAGAACUGCCUUUGAUACUGAAAGUCUUGAGUAUGGGAGAGGUGAGUGGAACUGCGAGUGUAGAGGUGAAGUUCGUAGAUAUUCGCAAGAACACCAGUGGCGAAGGCGGCUCACUGGCCCAUAACUGACGCUGAGGCACGAAAGCGUGGGGAGCAAACAGG